rnacentral:sRNA from 1 species
GUGAUGUACCAGGACCCUCCCUGGGACAGUCCACGCAGUGGCAAAGGCUGGACAGUCAGGAGGAAAACCCCGUGGGCCCGGCUCAGUGCCGUCAGAGCUCACCGCCACCUCGGGUGGGAAGGCAUUCUGUGAGCCGUGUGCAGAUGGCAGCUGGGGCAGGCCUCCUGCAGACCCAGGUGACUGACAGGGCGGUGAGGGCGCAUGCCCAGGGAUCUUACCUUGGUCAUGUGUGGAGGGCCUGCUGCCAGUUUCCUUCUGUGGAUGAUCCUGGGACCGUCCUUGCUUGGACACUGUUGACCUGCUGGCUCCAGCGUGGGCCCGGCUGUGCAGGCACGAAGUGUCCAUCAGAGCGUGGCCACCGAUGGCCCAAGCAGCACCCAGCCUGCCCUGCCAAAGGCCAGAGCCGUGGCUCCCAAACCCAGCAGCCGGGGCGAGUAUGUGGUGGCCAAGCUGGAUGACCUCGUCAACUGGGCCCGCCGGAGUUCUCUGUGGCCCAUGACCUUCGGCCUGGCCUGCUGCGCCGUGGAGAUGAUGCACAUGGCAGCACCCCGCUACGACAUGGACCGCUUCGGCGUGGUCUUCCGCGCCAGCCCGCGCCAGUCCGACGUCAUGAUCGUGGCCGGCACACUCACCAACAAGAUGGCCCCAGCGCUUCGCAAGGUAGGCCUCGUCCCAGCCGCCCAGCCGCCCCCAGAGUGAGCUGCGCACGGACCCCGCCUCUCUUCCAGGUCUACGACCAGAUGCCGGAGCCGCGCUACGUGGUCUCCAUGGGGAGCUGCGCCAACGGAGGAGGCUACUACCACUACUCCUACUCGGUGGUGAGGGGCUGCGACCGCAUCGUGCCCGUGGACAUCUACAUCCCAGGUAGGGCCGGGACCGCACCGCCCACGAGGAAGCUGGAGACAGGGCCAGCGCCACACGGAGCCCGGCGGCCCCUGUGAGGGAGUCCCACACCCCCAGCAGACGGCGGGCUCCCCCAUCCUAUGGAUGGGCCGACUCGGAGCGCUGCCUCUUAGUGGAGUGUGUCCCCUGUGAGAAGUCGGCGAUGUAUUCAGGCAUCAGAGGGAUCAGAGGGAGCAGGGGAAGCUGAGUGGAAUUCCUGACACUCGCCUGGUUUACAGCAGUUUCAUAUGGUCCUACCUGGCACAAACCAAAGACCUGCAGUUAGAAAUACCAAGAGAGAAGGUUCCUGGGGGCCAAGGACACUGUCCCGCGCCCUCAGCCUUACAGAAGGGCACGCAGGACUCCCUGGGACCCGGGGUGGCCGGAUUUGGCAAAUGAAAACGUGGGAGGCUUAGUUUGACUGUGAGGUUAGGGUGAAUUUGACCAUCAGGAAAACUGUUAGUAGUAAUUGUUUAGUACGAGUAUAUCCCAACAAUAUUUGGGCUAUACUGACACUACAAAGAGCAUUGGCUGCAUACCUGAAAUUCACAUCGCACCGGGAACAUUCUUUAUAUCUGGUGAUCCCGUGGGACUCUUGCACCUCACGUGGUCCCACGAGGGCCACCCCCCCGGGCGUUCACCUUGACAGUGGUCCACGGUAGGCAGGCUUGGAGGUGGUGCUCAUGUGGGACAGGGGACAGAGUCCUGUCCUUGGCCACCCUGUGCUGCGUGCGGCAUUAGCUCAUGCGCAGAGAGCCCAGCCCUGUGUCCCGAGUCUGGGGGUUUGGGCAAGCGAGAGGCACAUCCUGGUGCCUCUCAAAAGUGGAGGAACAGGCUCUGACUUUGGAUUCCGCUUCCCUGGAAAGGGCGUUGAUUUGUUCAGCGUUCUGCACGGUUCAGGUCACCCCGGGGGCAGUGGAGAGGGCAGCCUGGGCCUCCCCGUGACUUGACAGCACAGAGAGGUCCAUCCCGGGGUCAGGAGCUCAGCCCAUGCCCCUGGCGUCUUCCCCUGCAGUGCAGACCAAUGGGGCAAGUUGCGAGUGUGGACUGUACUCCUCCCUCCUUGCAGACUGAGCUCCUCCCUCCCUGCGGACCAUGCUCCUCCCUCCCUGGGGACCGCGCCCCUCCCUCCCUGGGGACUGCGCUCCUCCCUCCCUGCAGACCGCGCUCCUCCCUCCCUGGGGACCGAGCCCCUCCCUCCCAGCGGACCGUGCUCCUCCCUCCCUGGGGACCUCGCUCCUCCCUCCCUCCCUGCGGACUGUGCUUCUCCCUCCCUUGGAGCAGCCUGGACUUGCCAGAGCUCUGCCAGGUGGGGCCUGGCCGCCCUUUCCCAGGCCCUGCAGUGGCCUUGUCCUUUCUCACCUGUUUCCACUCCCGCUGUCCCCGUUGGGCCCUGGGCUUCGUCCUCUUGCUCAAGCCCUUUGCUCUGAACCUGCGUGGCAGCCGGGACUGGGGGAUCCCCAGCAAAGAGCUCUGGCUUGAGGCUCAGAAAGAGGGUCAUCGGGUCCUAGUGGGAUGCCCGGGCUCUGGGCCACCUCCCCUCCCUCCGCCCAGCCUCCCUGCCUCCAUCUCCGUCCAGGGCAGCCCCGGGCCCUGCUCCCCACGUCUGCUGAGCGCUGGCCCCCAUGGAGUCCUGAGGGCUGGGGCCGGGGGCCGGGUUAGUGAGGUCAGCGUCUUGUCCGAGAGGUCCCUGUGACAGCCCGGGAUGAGCCACGGGUGGAGGGCAGUGGGGCCUUGCCCAGGGGAGGACCCCACUCUUCCUGCAGGGACCUCCCCUGCGCCGGCUCCCAGCCCCUGGCACUGCGCCCACCCAGGGCUGUCAGCCUCCACCUUCAGAGGCCGGCCCGGGAGACCCCUCCAAAGCCGAGCCGGCUGCGCUGUGCACGCGGUCACGCGGGCUCCGGCUGCGGGAAGCGAGACUGAGGCAAGGUCCCUGCAGGCUGCCCACCUACGGCCGAGGCCCUGCUCUAUGGCAUCCUGCAGCUGCAGAGGAAGAUCAAGCGGGAGCGGAGGCUGCAGAUCUGGUACCGCAGGUAGCGCCGCCGCCGGAGCCUGUCGCUGUCCUGUCCCCAGCCUGCUUGUGUCCCGUGAGGUUGUCAGUAAACCUGCCCUCGGGCUGCCGCC